AAACUUUGCAAUGUGCGAAAGCACGACAAGGUUAAUCCGAGUGGUUUCUGCUAAAGGAACCUUUUGUUAGUUCUAAAAAUACUAACGAAUAAGGGGUGGGCAAGUUCUGGUGUCAGCCGCCGCGGUAAAACCAGCACCUCAAGUGGUCAGGAUGAUUAUUGGGCCUAAAGCAUCCGUAGCCUGUUCUGUAAGUUUUCGGUUAAAUCUGUACGCUCAACGUACAGGCUGCCGGAAAUACUGCAGAACUAGGGAGUGGGAGAGGUAGACGGUACUCGGGAGGAAGUGGUAAAAUGCUUUGAUCUCCCGAUGACCACCUGUGGCGAAGGCGGUCUACCAGAACACGUCCGACGGUGAGGGAUGAAAGCUGGGGGAGCAAACCGG
rnacentral:rRNA from 1 species